CGGUGCGGGCCGGUGCGGGCCAGUGCAGGCCAGGCCCGGCCGGGGCGAGGCAGGUGGCCAGGUCCGAGGACCGCGUCGCACAGCAGCUUUCAGGACCUGGAGAGAAAUCGAGAUGAAGAAGGGAAGUCACUUGCUUCAUGGCCAGGGAAGGGCUCCAGCAAGACAUGGGCUCCUGAAAGUGACAGUGUGUGAAGGCCCGGAGAGGCACAGGACCUGCUGGAGGAUGCCAAAGUAAACUUGGUGGCCACAUGUCAAAGACGGAGAUGCACAAAAUGGGAGGAACCUAGAUCCCUGAAUGACUUUGUGGAGCUGAGCCCCUAGGCCA
rnacentral:lncRNA from 1 species